rnacentral:rRNA from 1 species
GACGAACGCUGGCGGCGUGCUUAACACAUGCAAGUCGAACGGAAAGGCCCUGCUUUUGUGGGGUGCUCGAGUGGCGAACGGGUGAGUAACACGUGAGUAACCUGCCCUUGACUUUGGGAUAACUUCAGGAAACUGGGGCUAAUACCGGAUAGGAGCUCCUGCUGCAUGGUGGGGGUUGGAAAGCUUCGGCGGUUGGGGAUGGACUCGCGGCUUAUCAGCUUGUUGGUGGGGUAGUGGCUUACCAAGGCUUUGACGGGUCGCCGGCCUGAGAGGGUGACCGGCCACAUGGGGACUGAGAUACGGAGCAGACUCCUACGGGAGGCAGCAGUGGGGAAUAUUGCACAAUGGGCGGAAGCCUGAUGCAGCAACGCCGCGUGCGUGAUGACGGCCUGCGGGUUGUAAACCGCUUUCGCCUGUGACGAAGCGUGAGUGACGGUAAUGGGUAAAGAAGCACCGGCUAACUACGUG